GUUUAUAUUAAUAAUAGUCUGUGUGUGUGUGUUCAGGCGAUAGAGAGGGGUUUGGUGUUUGAGGUGUUGUACUCUCCAGCCAUCAAAGACUCCACCAGGAGGUGCUACACCAUACCAACGCUGUGUGUCUGAUGGAGACGUGUAAAGGGAAGCGUGUGAUCCUGUCCAGUGCCGUGGAGAAGUCUCUGGAGCUCAGAGGGCCCUAUGACAUCACCAACCUGUAUCCUUCCUAUUGGUUCAGACACAAACUGUAGUCUUCA